UUGUUGAGGGUACUCAUGGUGCUAAUAUUGAAAUUGGUAGUACGUAAAUACAUGAGGACACCUUAGUUGAAGUUGACUUGAGUAAUACCUUUCUCUACUCUCUAUUUUCUUUAGAUGAUAUGUAUGCUAUUGUAGAGAGUAUAUUUUUAUAUUGGGUGAAACCUAUGGAGAAAAAGAGUGUUGUCUAGACCAUUCUCUAUGUCCAAUCAUUCCAUUUGACCCCGGUGCUAAAUGUGG
rnacentral:lncRNA from 1 species